rfam:Myotis davidii contig158809, whole genome shotgun sequence.
GGUGGUUCUCGGGUGACGCACACCAGAAUCAGUCUCCCUCCUCUCUGGUUCUGGGUUCGUCACCUGAGAACUGCA